rnacentral:rRNA from 1 species
UACGUAGGGGGCAAGCGUUGUCCGGAUUUAUUGGGCGUAAAGAGCGUGUAGGCGGCCAUGUAGGUCCGUUGUGAAAACUCGAGGCUCAACCUCGAGACGCCGAUGGAAACCAUGUGGCUAGAGUCCGGAAGAGGAGAGUGGAAUUCCUGGUGUAGCGGUGAAAUGCGCAGAUAUCAGGAAGAACACCCGUGGCUAAGGCGGCUCUCUAGUACGGUACUGACGCUGAGACGCGA